AUGACUUUUGGUAGCACAUAUGCAAAAAUUGGAACAAUACAGAGAAGAUUAACAUGGCCCCUGCAUAAGGAUGACAUGUAUAUUCAUGAAGUGUUCCAUGUUUUU
ensembl:snRNA U6 U6 spliceosomal RNA